GGGUCGAUGGCGUAGUCGGUUAUCGCAUCUGUCUUACAUUCGGAAGUCCUCCGCUGCACACAGAAGGUCCUCAGUUCGAGCCUGGGUCGACUCA